UACGUAGGCAGCGAGCGUUGUUCGGAGUUACUGGGCGUAAAGAGUGCGUAGGCGGUUUUCUUAGUUUGGUGUGAAAUCUCCCGGCUCAACUGGGAGGGUGCGCCGAAGACUGGAAGGCUUGAGUAUGGGAGAGGUAAGCGGAAUUCCUGGUGUAGCGGUGAAAUGCGUAGAUAUCAGGAGGAACACCUGCGGUGUAGACGGCUUACUGGACCAUAACUGACGCUGAGGCACGAAAGCGUGGGUAGCAAACAGG
rnacentral:rRNA from 1 species